rnacentral:rRNA from 1 species
UCCGGUUGAUCCUGCCAGAGGCUACUGCCAUCAGAGUUCGAUUAAGCCAUGUUAGUCGAGGGUGCUUCUUCUUCGGAAGAGGUAACCGGCAGACGGCUCAGUAACACGUGGACAACUUACCCUUGGGACCGGGAUAACCCCUGGGAAACUGGGGCUAAUACCGGAUAGAGCAUCGGUUGCUGGAAUGCACGAUGGUCUAAAGCUGAGGCGCCCAAGGAUAGGUCUGCGGCCGAUUAGGUUGUUGUUGAUGUGACGGAUCAACAAGCCUACGAUCGGUACGGGUUGUGAGAGCAAUAGCCCGGAGAUGGGUUCUGAGAGAAGAACCCAGGUCCUACGGGACGCAUCAGGCGCGAAAACUUUACAAUGUGCGAAAGCACGAUAAGGGAACUCUGAGUGCCUCCUAAGGAGGCUGUUCGGGUGUCUAAAAAGCAUCCGAAGGRAGGGCUGGGUAAGACCGGUGCCAGCCGCCGCGGUAACACCGGCAGCCCAAGUGGUAGCCACGCYUAUUGGGUCUAAAGCGUCCGUAGCCGGCCAAGUAAGUUCUUUGGGAAAUUUGACCGCUUAACGGUCAAGCUAUCAGGGAAUACUGCUUGGCUUGGGACCGGGAGAGGUCAGAGGUACUCCAAGGGUAGGGGUGAAAUCCGUUAAUCCUUGGGGGACCACCGGUAGCGAAGGCGUCUGACCAGACCGGGUCCGACGGUGAGGGACGAAGGCUAGGGUCGCGAACCGGAUUAGAUACCCGGGUAGUCCUAGCUGUAAACGAUGCGGGCCAGGUGUUGGCAUUACUGCGAGUGAUGCCAGUGCCGAAGGGAAGCCGUUAAGCCCGCCAUCUGGGGAGUACGGUCGCAAGGCUGAAACUUAAAGGAAUUGGCGGGGGAGCAC